rnacentral:lncRNA from 1 species
AAAAAUUCACGCAAUGUUUUCUUUGGCUUUCUCUUCUUUUUCUUACUCUUUCCCAUCAACCAAAUUGUUUAUUUAACUCGCAGGAGAAAACCCAGUUCCUAAAAGCUUAAAAACUGCUAAAUCUGAAUUGUUUUGAAUUGCAAUUUUGCAGGAGUUAGAUCAAUUUCCAUGGAUAUGAAGGACAAGAAAAUGACUGUCAUUGGAGAUGUGGAUCCAGUAAGCAUAGUGGGCAGGUUGAGGAAGCUUUGCCACCCAGAGAUAUUAUCAGUUGGACCAGCAAAAAGAGCCAGAGAAGAAGGAGGAACCCAAGAAAGAAGAGAAGGACCCUAAAGAUCAAUUGGCUGAUCUUGUUAAAAGCAUACCAAGCUUAUAAUCCUCACUAUACCACACACUAUUUUGUUUGAAGUGUGGAAGAAGACCCGAAUACUUGUGUCAUUUGUUAGUCACCAGAUCAUAGAAGAAUCCAAAAAGGCAAAAGCAAUAGUAUGUGUGUGUGGGUGAUUAUAGAUAUGGGUCUUCUAUAAUGAUGGUGCACCCAAGAACAGAAGCCUUAUGUACAGUACUGGAUGGUUAGCGGAUGUGUGUUUGAUUUUCUAUUGUAUGCCAGUUUUCAUUUGGAAUGUAUCAAACUUUGGGUUGUUUGUUUCCAUGAAUGAAGUAAGAACUUGGAGUUGUUAUGAUAAUUGAAUAUUCUGUCUCCUUGGUGAUGGAAAUUUGAGAUGACGACAUAGUCAAGAAUAUCUCCUUUUGUUUCAAUUAUUUGAUACUUAAGCUUUUCACCAAAACAAAAAAAAAAACAAAAAAAAAAGGAGAAAAAGGAAACUUGGAUACUUAAUUAUUGAGUUGCUCUUCUUCUAUUCAUUUCAAAUUAUUGUGACUAUCUGUCUCUCAAUUCUACUUUUGUGGGAGUUUCAUGAUGGAUACAAGGAUAGAUCUUUGUUUUCUUCUUGGUAUUAUUGAAAAGUGUCUCAAAUUUUUAAUUAAGUUAAAAAAUAGUUAAAAAUAUAUUUAUAAAUAUUAUAUGUAAUGAGAUAAAGGUCAUGUAAUAGACAUAACUUGUGAAGAGUGGAUUUUGUAAUAUUUUUUAUAAUAUAAUGAAAUAUUUUCUCUCAUUUGUGGGUAUAUGCAUGAAUCACUUUAAAGUAUUAUGUACCUUUUUUUUAUGUGUGGAUCGUUUUAUCUUUGUGUUCUUUUAACAUGUUUGCAUUGAAGCAACACAUAUAUGGAUGUUGUAAAUGCACAAAUGAUCUGUGCCAAAUUCUUUUAAUAUGAGUAAGAAUAAAAAAAUUCAAAUUGGGACAAGAAAUUCAAACUAAUUUAUUUAAAAAAUAACUAUUUUUACUAAUCACCUUUUUAUGAUUUGCAUUUUUUAUUUUCAAAAUGUACAAUCAUAAAAAAUACAAUAUUUUAAAAUUUUUUAAUCCUUAAUACUAUUGUUCCAAGGAUAUUUUUAUAAUUAUUUAGAUAAUGUUAAAUAUAGGAAUGGCAACAAAGCGGGUUCGGGACGAGUCGCCCUCAUUCCAACCCCGCCUCGUUUAUUCAAAACAAUUCCCAUCUUCGUCCCAUUUAAAAAAUUAAAUGAGGCAGGACAAGGCGGGUAUGAUAAAUUCCCAUACCCGCCCCACCCCGUUUAACUUUUUUUUUUGAAUUUUAAUUUUUUUAAAUUACUUUAAAAAUUUUUAAUUACAUUAAAAUAAAUAUAUUUUAUAAAUAAUUAAAUUAUUAUAUUUUUUAUAACUUAUUUUAUUAAAAAUAUUUUAUUAUUAUCUAUAUAUUAAAAAUGGUAAAAUAAAAUUUUAAAUUAAAUUAAUUUUAAAAUUUAAAUUAAAUUAAAUUUUAAAUUUAAUUUUAUAUAUAAUUGGGGCGGGGCGAGGUGGGAUGGGACAAUACCCGAACAUGUUCUAGGUUUUAAAAAAAAAUCUUAAACCCAUCCCAAACCGGUCCUAAACCCGUUUAUUAAAAUUUAAUCAUGUCCCAUUAGGGGUGGGGCGGGUAUCCGAAAAAAUUGUCAUUUACUAAUUUGCUAAGUACAGUUAUUGUUCAUUUUAAGUCAAAUAACUCUCACAGCUUUAAAAUACGUUUACCUGAUUAAAAUAAGUUCAUACAUAUAUAGUUUUAAUAACUUUAUCUUUCAUCUAAUAUGAGAUAUCACAACUGAGUCUAUGUUUGACUCUAAAAAAAUAUUAAGGAAAGAUAAAAAAUGUUAAAAAAAUGAUUUUUUUUAUUUUCGAUUUCACCGUGAAAAUAAAAAAAAAUUACUUGAAAAUUUAUGAAUUUUAAAUUAUUUAAUCUAAGGAAAUAAGUAAAAUAUUUUUUUAAAAUAUAAAAUAUAAUUUAUUAAAUUUGAAUGUAUUUUUUAUUUUUGUUUUGUUUUUUUUUUUUAUCAUUUUUCACUUCUUUUUUUUUUCUUUCAUAUUUUCCCUUAAAUUUUCGCGGGCAUCAAACAUAACCUUAAUAAAUUUUGGGUGUGGUAAAUUUCCCUACUAUAAUUGAAUAUUGUCUCUUUGAAAGCACAACAAAAGCUAAGAAUUUAGGAAAGUUGUGAAAAUUUGGGAUGACAAUUUAUUUAUUUUUAAACUUAUCAUAUUUUAAUUUUUUUCAACUUCUGUUUAUAGAUUAGCCUACAAAUGACUGAUACAAAAAAUCUAGACACAUAGAUUUAUUAUUCACUGGUUUCAAAUUAAGCUGUGUUUUUAAACAUUUGAAUAAAGAAUAAGGGCAAGAAAAUAUCGGUUAACCUUGUCAUAUAUUUAAUCCCAUCCAAAUAUGUUUGCAAGUGAAAUAAUUGUCUUUUAACAUUGUUGCAUUUCUUUUGGGAAGAUGAUUGAGUCAUCCCAUCUUUUGUUCCGUUUUUCUUUCAAUUCUUAUUUUCAUUAAAUUAUUUGUUGGAAUAAAAAUAAGAAUAAGAAAUUCAUUGUAAUGCAAGUAAAACAUUACUUAGAUAUAAUAGUUGGGGAUUUAGAUAUAAAAAUAAAAAUUAUAAAAAAAAUUUCAUUAUAAUUUUAUUUAUUUAUUCCUACCAUGGAUUUAUAUAUGAUACAAAUGUUGUUAAAAUAUUCAUCUUAUUUUCAAUUAUUUUCUAAAAUACCAUUUAAAAAAUCACAAACUUAUUUUAGAAAUAACCCGCUUUUAGAAUAAAAUUCUAAAAUAUUAUUUUCAAUUAAAAUUUUAUUAUUUUUUAAAUUAAAAACAAUUUUCGAAGAGACCAUUUCAAAAGUACUACACAAGAUAUUGUAUUUCAAAAAUAUAUUAUUUAAAUAAAAAUUCCACUAAUUUGGCCCACACUCAUAGUGCAAAGCUUGGAGGAUUUUGGCAAUAAUUUGAGAUGACUUGACCGUUGACUCGGAGGAGGGGAGCUGGCCGAAAGAUGGAGGGGUUGGUUUUAGGGAUGGGCUUUUCGAUGUUGGGCUUGAUGUAUAAACCAAAGGGCCUGUCUUUUUCGUGGGGCUCCAUUUGGGCUUAAUGAUUGUGAUUCUUGGGAUUCUGGAAGUCUUGUGAAGUGACCAUUGUGGAAAAAUAAGUUACUCCCUGAUCACGACUACUGUCUGCGCAUGGCUCAUGAGACUUGAAAGUCUUUCAACAAGCCUACUUGCUACCUUCACAACCUCUCUCAUUUUCCCCCCUUGACAUCCAAACAAAACCUUUGUUGCGUGGCCAUCUCCAUCAUUGAAUAAUUUAUAAUAAAAUUUGGAUAGUUGUUGUGCGAGGCUACAAAUAAGUAAGUCUUGAGUCACAACAUUCGAAACCAUGCAUAAAACAUGCGUGUAUUACCAUCCAAUUAUUGGUAUCCAUUCCAUGUUCACGGAAGCAAUACUUUUUGAUUGGGAUACAACUUGGACGGGAUUGACUCCAUUUAACGUAAGUCGACUCAAUACUUAAAUUGAUUCAUAUCAAUUUUUUUUUUGCACUUUAGUUAAAGUUUAAAUAACUCGAACUUAACCAAAACCCAAUUAAUUAUUUAUAAUAUGUAUUAUUCUAUGUAAUAAUAUUAAUUUUUUUGGAUUUAAAAUAAAUUAUCAAAUUAUAAUUAUAUCAUUUUUUAGAAAGGUACAUAAAUUUUUUUUUAUUUUUGUUUAUUAUAUUAAAUCUAUGAUGUCCUAUAUCGGAUAGGAGAAAAAGUUCUUAACGCUAUAUAUGUAAAGACUCCUCUUAAUUAAAUAGGCGCGUUUUAAAGCCGUAAGAGUUUUCUUUGGACCCAAGGUGGACAAUAUCUACAUGAUUGGGGGUAGACAAUAUCUACAUGAUUGGGUGCGGAUCAUUACAAAUGGUAUCAGUUUUAAAGCCGUGAGAGCUCAAUUUGAGCCCAACUCUACAUGGUUGGUUAACCAUUAACUUGACUCAUCCCAUGAAGUAAAACCCGGGUAUCAUUUCAUUUUUUAAUAAUAAAAACAAUUUAUAUUUUGUUGAGGAUAUAAAUAAAUGAGAUUUGAAUACUGAGUAAACACCCUCAAGUAAUUGAAGUACUUGGACCAACCAAAACCCCAACUUUGACUCAUUGACAUGUUAUUCUACACAUGAUCUAAUGCAGAACCAGCGAAGCAGCUACCAAGCUUCAUUGACUCAGAGAGAGAAGGGAAGCUUCUCAGUCUCCACACACCCAAGGAACCACUCGGCCCUCGAAGCAUCUGGGAAAUCACUAUCAAGUAUAUAGAGUCUUAAUUAUAAUUAAAGAUAACUUUUAAUGAAUAUUCGGAUAAGAUUAUGAAUGAAUAAGUAUCAAUUUUUGGUAUUGUCUCCAUGGAAGAAUGUCCAAAAUAAGGUGUGAAAGCAUUCGAGUCUUCACGCGCCUGAGAGGACGACAAACAUGUUGACCUUCUGACACGAAACUCCGCGUCUGGCUUUUGCUUAGCAUGGACUUAACCCUGGGUUCGCUCGGGUUUCUUCACUCUCAAAUCACUACAAAUAUGACGCCUUGGCCCCUGUGAACUUCGCCAAAUUCAUCAAACUUCAUCUCCUUCAACCUCUCUUUCUUCAAUCUUCUUCUUUAUCUUCUUCUUUUCAGGCUUUCAUCUCUUACAUUUUCUCGUACUUCAAUGGCAAAGAAGGUCGGUUCUUUCUCCAGCGUAGCAUUUUUUUUAGCUUAUUUUUUGGGUUUGUUCUUCUCUUUUUCUUGGGUGUGAUGGGUUUUGCACAUAUCCUAGUUUGGUUGUUGAGAAAAGAAAAGAAAGGAAAAGAAUAGAAAAGAAAAUGGAAGUUUGGGUGCUACCUUGGAGCUUUUCUUUUUUUCUUCAUUUGUUUUUUUAUUUUGAUUAUGAAGAUCUUAGGUUGUUUCUUUUUCUUUUUUUGGAUGACAGAAAAUCGUGUUGAAGUUCGAAUUCAACGAUGACAAAACCAAGCAGAAGGCCAUGAAGAAUGUCUGCAGCCAUUCAGGUAUUGAAUUUUUUUAAUUUUGCACCCUCUGUUUGGUUGAUGAGAAAACUGAAGAAAUGACAAAAAUUCUAGAAGUAAAAAUCAAAAUGUUGAGUCAAAUCCGUGUGUCUUAUGUUCAACCAAGUAAAAUAGUUGUAUUAGCCCCAGAAAAUGAACAGUCACAUCACAUCACAUCACAUACUAAGGAAUUGCAAAUCUAUCAUUUCUUUUCCAACAUUUUCUCAUCAACCAAACAGUAAUUACUGAAAUCAAACAAGAAAACCCAGUUCUUAAAACCUUUAAAUUUGACAAAUUUGAGUGUCUUUGCAGGUGUUGAAUCAGCGUCCGUGGACAUGAAGGAAAAGAAACUGACAGUAGUUGGGGAUGUUGAUAUAAUAAUUAUGGUGAAACAAUUGAGAAAGCUUUGUCACACAGAGUUAGUCACGGUUGGGUCACCAGCAUAAGCAGUAGACAAGAUGAAUGAGGAGAAAGAAAAUGGAGCCAACGAGUGGUGAAAUUAUAAUUCGACUUAAAGUCAAAUUAGAAUAGGUUUUGGAAUUGGAUAAAUAUUAGAAAUUGUUAUUUAUUUAGGCUUCCUAACAAAUAUGAAAAGUUUAUUAUAAAUGGACUUAUUAUUAUCUUGAAAAAAAGAAUGCUACCAAAUAUUAUUUUAGCAUAAAUAUUAUCAAUAACUAAAAUAUACAACGGUCGAGUUUUGAGUUCAAUGCUCAAAUUAGUGAAUAAAUCUUGAUCAUGAUUGCAAUGAGUUUAAUGCUCAAAUUAGUAUUAAUCACUUUACUCUAUAUGUAUUGAUUGAGUCCUAUUCAUCUUUAUCUUGAUCGUGACAAACUUGGUGUUUCAUGAUGUAGAUUGAUGUACACAACUUUCAACCAUAUGAUUUGGAGUCAUUUUCAUUAAUUUGAAAAAAUAUAGAAAAAAGAACCUAACUUUUAUAAAUCAAUUUUAUCUUUACCAAUUUAAAAAUAUUUUAAAAUAUAUCUACUUUUUCGUAAUUCAAAUAAUUAUUUCCUAAAAUACUUACAUGAUAAUAUUAAAUUAAAUUAUCAAAAAAUUAAUUUUAUCAAAAUAUCUUAUAAACAAAUAUAAUAUAAAUUUUUAUUAUAUAAUAUAAUAUACAAAUCAUUAUGAAAAAAAUAUUUAGCAGUGAUAAAUAAAAUUUUUAUAAUUUCCUAAUUAAUAAUGAUUUUAUAUAUUGUAUUAUAUAAAUCUACGCAUCUUCUCAUUUUUUUUUUAAUAAAUCUGAAUAAAAAUUUUGUUAAUUGAUAUCAACAAUAAAAUAUUUUUUUUUUAAAUAAGAGUAUAAGUAAAACUAAAAUAUUUUAAAAAUUAAAUAAAAUUAAAACCAAAAAACUAAAAAAAUUAAAAAAUAAAAUAUUAGCUUCCAUUGUAUUUUCAACUUUUUCUGAUAUCUAUAUUUUCUAUUAGUGUGUUUUAAUGAAGUCAAAGUCAAUAUUUUAUUUUCAUAUUUUUAGUUUAAAAGCUUUUUUUUUUUUAGUUUUAAUUGUAUUUUAAAAUUUUAAAAUUUUUUAUUUUAUUGAUUUCAAAUUAAUUUUUAUGAUAAAAAAAAUUGUCAAUUAAUGUUACCAACAAGAUAAAUCAAAUUUAUAAAAUUUAGGAUUCUUUUUUCUAUAUUCUUUCAAAUUGGCGGGCCAAAACCUAUUUUUCUUUUUAUGAAAAAUUAUUUAAUAUUUCAUUAUAUAAUAUAAAUAAAAAAUGUUUUAUUUUAUUUUAUUUUAUUUUUUGGUGCUAGUUAUAUAUAAGGAAAAGAAAAUGGAAACACACACUUACGGGAAAAAAAUUCUUCAAUUUUUUUUCCUUUUUAUAUAAACUUGAAAACAUUGUCAAACACUUAAUAAAUUUUGGGUGGUAAUUUUUUAUGAAUAAAAUUUAUUUAUUUUUAAACUUAUCAUAUUUUAAGUUUUUCAACUUCUGCUUAAUGGAUUAGUCUAAAGAAGACUAACACAGAAAAUCCAGAGAGAUAGCUUUCUUAUUUAUUGGUUUCAAAAUAUGGAAACUAUCUGCCUUUUAAUGGGUCAUUACAUUGCCAUAAAUUAUAAAUUUUAUUUCCUUUUUCUCCUUCAUUUUCUUAGGUUCCCUACAACCUUUUUCUACUUCUCUUUGUGAAACCCCUUCAAGUUUAUCUAUUUAUUUUCUUCCUUUUUAGAUUCAUGGUGUUUAAGCUCGUGCUUUUAAACAUUUAAAUAAAGAAUAAGAACGGGAGAAAUCCGAGAGUCGCUCCACCCACUAGAACACUUAGAGGAGUUCUUGUGUCAAUAACUUCUAUUCCUCUCAUUAGACCAUUUGUAAUAUUCAUAGUCGCAGCUUUGACUCGAUUAUUUUCUAAUAAUUAUUGUACCUCACAAGUCACAUUAAUUUAUUGAUCGACAAUACCUUGAUCUAUAAUUACGAACACAUGAUUAAUAUUAGAUAUCUUAAUCGAGGAAAAAACUACAUCCAAGAUUGAACCAAUGAUUUGAAUGAUAUACAAUCAAUUCCAUUUUUUAUUAAUAUAUUUGUUGAAAUGAAAAUAAAAAUAAGAAAUAAUUUUUUAGUCAUUCCUCAUGGUACUAUAGAUUUAUAUAUAAUGCAAACAUGGUUAAAACAUUAAUAGUAUUUUCAAUUAUUUUUUAAAAUGGCAUUUAAAAAUCACAAAUUUAUUUUGAAAAUAACUUGUUUUUAAAAACUAUUUUCGAAGAGACCAUUUCAAAAGCACUAUAUAAGUGUGGACUGCGCAUUUUACGCAUGCGCUUUCACUCGAUGACGUGACUCGCUUUUUUAUUUGGUUGGUAAAAUUUUGAUUUUUUGAAAAGACUUGGAGUCGCCACUUAUUUUUGUUUUAAUUUUUUUUUAAGGGAAAACAAAAUAAGAAAGAAAACCCUAAGUGUGACUCUUUACUUGGAAAAGACAGUCUGUGGAGAACAAAUAUGGGUUCGGGGGUUAGGUUACUUAUCGGGAAGGUACAAUAGUAAACUGUAACACCCUUCUAAACCCUAAGAAUUAGGUCUCUACUGAAUAAAUUAAAGCAAGUGUGGCAAUUGAUUGAUUAAUUGUGGAUACCAAAUAGUGAUCAAGAGUGUGAAAGCAAGACACGCAUGAUAAUGAAUAAAUAGAAAAAUAUAAUCAGCUAUUAGGCGUACCUUAGUCACAAACUGAGUGCUAUCAUGAGAGACAAAGUUAGUGCAUAAAUACAAAAGUAACCACAUAUAUAUCAUAGAGUGAGGUAAGCCAAUCAAGCAUAGCAAUCAAUCAAUAAAUGAGAAAAUUCUAUAUGUUGGGCCCCACCAAAGCCCAAUUUGUCUUGCAUGAAUUAGUCCCACAAAUUCCAUUAUUUUAGAAUUAUAAAAAAUUUCAUUCAUGCUUAUUAAAAAUCGAGAAAAACGGAAAAUCAUUUUAAAAUCAAAGAAGAAUUUGUGAAGGUGCUUGCCUGAAAGAAAAAAGGAACAAGUUUAUUAAAAACAGGAUUCUUGGUGACCCUAAACCUUAAGGAAAGACAAAAAAUUGAUGACUUAAAAUUAUUUGAAAAUUGGAGUGAAUUUAAAAUUAUUUGUGAAAUUUUGAAAAUUAUUUAAAAAUUGAAAUCUAAAAAAAAUAUUUGAAAAUUUGAGUCUUGAAAUUUAAAUUUAGAGAUUGGAAUUUUUGAAAUUAAAUUUGAAAGAAAUUGGAAUUUUGGAAAUUGUUUGAGAAUUGGAAUUUUGAAAAUUAAAUUUAGGAAAUGGAAUUUUGGAAAUUGAAUUUAAGAAUUAGAAUUUUGGAAAAUUGUUUGAAGAUUAAAGUUUUUGAAAAUUGGAAUUUUAGAAAAUUAUUUGAGAAUGAAUUUUUUUAAAAAAAAAAAAUUAAAUUUGGAAAUUAGAACUUUGAAAAAUUAUUUGAGAAUGAAAAUUUUAAAUUCACCCUAAAAAAAAAGAAUUCCUCUUUCAUUAUAAUCUCACUUAGUGGUAAUUUUUUGAUGUCUAGCACACAUACAUCACAUUUCAGUGAUCAAAUGACAACUUUGCAUGAAAUAAAAUAAAGUAAAAAAUGGCAUAUGUUGAUUUCCAAACCAUCAUUGUGUCUUGAAAUAGUGUUGAGAUUGACAUUCGUGUGAACCUCAACAAGGGACCGAUUGGAAUGAAAGGAUGACAAUUCCAAAUUUGUGUCUCCAAAAACAACUGCAUCCAUAAACACUCCACGCUGAAGAAGAUGUUGUAGCUCAAAUGGGUCAGUAAAGGUUCCACAGGGUAGUUUUUCAAUGAUUAUGGCCUCACAGAAGUGUAUUGGUAGCUCAGCUAUUAACUCCAAUUGGAUAUUAAAUCUUACUGUCGACGGCGACAUCUUAGGCUUCUCAACACCAUCGACGGCAGCUCACUCCGGCCUAGGUAGCUUCGACAUUUUCACUUUGCUCCAGAGAGAUCUCCGCUGGUGGUCCUCGGUUAGUCUCUCUAUUCUCCCCACCUCUAAUUCAUUUUCCCCUGUUCUUCUUCAUCAGUCCAUUUCUUGCUCUGUUUUUCUCCUUCAACGUCCUUUCCAUAGCUAGCUUGCCCCAAAAAGUCUCGUCUGUUUCUCUUCACAAACCAUUCUGGACUCCUCCAUUUUUCAGUCCAACUUUCUUUUCUAUCUGCUUUUCUUCCAAGCCCCUUCCUCAAGCUUUCAA